UACAGAGGGCUCAAGCGUUGUUCGGAUUCAUUGGGCGUAAAGGGUGCGUAGGCGGCGCGGUAAGUCGGGUGUGAAAUCUCGGAGCUUAACUCCGAAACUGCAUUCGAUACUGCCGUGCUUGAGGACUGGAGAGGAGACUGGAAUUUACGGUGUAGCGGUGAAAUGCGUAGAUAUCGUAAGGAAGACCAGUGGCGAAGGCGGGUCUCUGGACAGUUCCUGACGCUGAGGCGCGAAGGUCAGGGGAGCAAACGGG
rnacentral:rRNA from 1 species